rnacentral:rRNA from 1 species
UAACGCGUUGGUGACCUGCCCCGAAGCGUGGGAUAACAGACCGAAAGGUUUGCUAAUACCGCAUGAGCAGUUGGUGAAGUAGAGAGCUAACUGGAAAGAGGAAACUCGCUUUGGGAGGGGCCUGCGUCCCAUCAGCUAGUUGGUAAGGUAACGGCUUACCAAGGCGAUGACGGGUAGGGGACCUGAGAGGGUGAACCCCCACAAUGGAACUGAAACACGGUCCAUACACCUACGGGUGGCAGCAGUAGGGAAUAUUGCUUAAUGGGCGCAAGCCUGAAGCAGCAACGCCGCGUGUGCGAUGAAGGCCUUCGGGUUGUAAAGCACUUUUGGCUGGGAAGAGGAAGGACGGUACCAGCAGAAUAAGCCUCGGCUAACUACGUGCCAGCAGCCGCGGUAAAACGUAGGAGGCGAGCGUUAUCCGGAUUUACUGGGUGUAAAGCGCGUGUAGGCGGUUUGCUAAGUUGGGUGUGAAAGCUCCUGGCUCAACUGGGAGAGGUCGCUCAAGACUGGUAGACUAGAGAGCAGUAGGGGAAGGUGGAAUUCCGGGUGUAGUGGUGAAAUGCGUAGAUAUCCGGAGGAACACCAGUGGCGAAGGCGGCCUUCUGGACUGCAUCUGACGCUCAGACGCGAAAGCUAGGGUAGCAAACGGGAUUAGAGACCCCGGUAGUCCUA